CUAGGGAAUACAUGAAGAGUUUGGGGUCUUCUGUCAUUGAAAUAAUCAAAGCCAAGAAUAAGCGUGAAAUGUUGGAGCAAAAAAUGGACGACCUACUGAGUCAUCAGAGACAAUUUGUCGAAAAUAAUCGUCGGUCCUUAGAACAGAAAAUAAAAGAAAAGGAAAAGUCUUCUACAUUUCUAAGAAGUGUUUCAUCAGCUACAUGACUUACUGACAGGGGAUCUGCCGUGCGACCAGAUAAACCAGGACUUGCAGCAAGCCAACGAUGCUCUACGAGCAGAACUCAACAAAAUUUUGCAGGGCAGAAGCAUUCAAGUCUAAAUACAUUGGAUUGCGAUGAUUCAAGCAAGAGUUAAUGAUGGCCUAUGCGAUUGAGGCCAAAUUGUAAAUACAAAUGAUGGGAUGUAGCCUUACCAGAUUAAGGUAGGAGAAUGCAUUUCUUGUAAAUAGUUUUGUGAACGUCCUGCAUCAGAGCAU